rnacentral:rRNA from 1 species
GUUGAACGCUGGCGGCAGGCUUAACACAUGCAAGUCGAGCGGAGAUGAGGUGCUUGCACCUUAUCUUAGCGGCGGACGGGUGAGUAAUGCUUAGGAAUCUGCCUAUUAGUGGGGGACAACAUUCCGAAAGGAAUGCUAAUACCGCAUACGUCCUACGGGAGAAAGCAGGGGAUCUUCGGACCUUGCGCUAAUAGAUGAGCCUAAGUCGGAUUAGCUAGUUGGUGGGGUAAAGGCCUACCAAGGCGACGAUCUGUAGCGGGUCUGAGAGGAUGAUCCGCCACACUGGGACUGGGACACGGCCCAGACUCCUACGGGAGGCAGCAGUGGGGAAUAUUGGACAAUGGGGGGAACCCUGAUCUAGCCAUGCCGCGUGUGUGAAGAAGGCCUUAUGGUUGUAAAGCACUUUAAGCGAGGAGGAGGCUACUGAGACUAAUACUCUUGGAUAGUGGACGUUACUCGCAGAAUAAGCACCGGCUAACUCUGUGCCAGCCGCCGCCGUAACAC